rnacentral:rRNA from 1 species
CCUACGGGGGGCUGCAGUGGGGAAUAUUGGACAAUGGGCGAAAGCCUGAUCCAGCCAUGCCGCGUGUGUGAAGAAGGCCUUCGGGUUGUAAAGCACUUUCAGUGGGGAAGAAAGCCUUGGGGCUAAUACCCUCGAGGAAGGACAUCACCCACAGAAGAAGCACCGGCUAACUCCGUGCCAGCAGCCGCGGUAAUACGGAGGGUGCGAGCGUUAAUCGGAAUUACUGGGCGUAAAGCGCGCGUAGGCGGUCUGAUAAGCCGGUUGUGAAAGCCCCGGGCUCAACCUGGGAACGGCAUCCGGAACUGUCAGGCUAGAGUGCAGGGGAGGAAGGUAGAAUUCCCGGGGUAGCGGUGAAAUGCGUAGAGAUCGGGAGGAAUACCAGGGGCGAAGGCGGCCUUCUGGACUGACACUGACGCUGAGGUGCGAAAGCGUGGGUAGCAAACAGGAUUAGAUACCCGAGUAGUC